rnacentral:lncRNA from 1 species
CUCCGAUGGGCUGGAGUCUGAGAGGAAACUGAAUAGCCUGGAAAGGCUAAACUUACCAUUGAGUUCAGAAGGCUGGGAAGACUCCAGGUCAAUUUGCACCCACAUCUAGAACAAAUCACAGCUGCACUGAGGCAAAGCAAUGUUUGGGAUCACAAACCUGUGACUGUUCUACCCAUUGAGGAUCCAGGGAUUUCUGUAGCUCAAGGAGCAGGCCCCACUGGAGGGAAGUCACCAGUGAUUGUGUUACAGGAUGUGGGUAGGAGCAGCAGUGACCCCCUGACCACCCCAGAAAGGAGCAGCUCCUACCUUUGCAUAAGGAUAUGGGUGUUGCUGGGAGAUGAAAAGUCAUCUCCUGUCUUAGGAGGUGGAGGCUUAAAUGGAGGAAGGAGAAGCUUACAGCCAACACCUGACUCUGCCUGCAUUUAAUUAUCUAAUGUGUCAAUGCACAAAUACCAGCUCUGCUGACCUCAAACAUGUAAAAAUCCC